ACGACGGCAUUGAUCACUCGCGAGGACGAGGAGGCGAGAGUGCGUCAACGGGGCCAGAGUGUGUGGGUGCGAUUCAGUUGCGGUUGUGAGUGAGUGAUGGUACAGCACUAUGGAUUACUCCAGCGGGGCACAACGCCACCCACAGUACCCGAACACAUUACACCAACAGCUGUCCCAGUUGAGCCUGAACCAAUCGGCGCUUCCUCGUCAGCAGUUAGCCACUAGUAAUGAGGGUAGUUUGCCCCAUACUGUGUAUGGUCAGGGCCAGGCUGCUUUGGACUCCUCGUCGUAUGGCAAGUCGUUUUACAAUGCUUCUUCUCCGGGCCUAUACUCCUCGUCCACUCAGGUGCAAGACCCUUCUUCUGCCCCCAUGCAUCAGAUGCUGCAACAGACACCCCAAGAUCAGUUGAAUUCGCAGUUCGUGAAUGCCAAGAACCAAUCGCUGCUCGGCAGUCCCCAGUUAUCCUGCUCAGUCCAGCGUCAACUUUCCCCGAGCAAUUUGGGCACUGCCACACUCCAAACACCACAUAUCACACCCGUGCCCUCGCAGUCGUCGUCUCCAAUACGAUCAGCAUUAGGGGGAGCUCAGUUAGGGUCAUCGUUUGGGGCGUCUCAGUUGAAUGCACCCUCCUUAACAGGGGCCCAGUUGAAUUUGUCAGGGUCUCCCAGAUUGAGUGAGGGGCUUUUUAGUGGAGUUACAGAAAAUCAAAAUAGUUUAGGGUCAAGAUCAUCUCUGUUGAGCCAGCUAGAUGGGGCACAGUUGAUGUCAUCCGUCUCUGGGUCAUCAUUGCAAGUGCAGGACAGAGGAGUUUCUCCUUUGUUAUCACAGCAGUCUCCUAUUCAGUCCAGGCUAAGUGGGGCACAGUUAGGUUCAAGUUGGAAUUCGACAGAAGGUCAAAAUAUGGGGUACCAGACAAUGCUUAAAGCUGACCAACAGACCCAGCAAGUGGGCUAUGGAAGCUCCUCCAGUCAGUAUGGAUCAUCUCUCAUGAAUGGUCAGCUAUUGCCAGAACCACAAAUGCAAAACAGUGUGCAAUACCUUGAUCAAAUGCAGUACAAUAUGGGGUAUUCCUCUAUGCAGCAUCAACAGUUUGGAAAUACGGGCUACAAUCAACUCCAGCCUUUUUCUCAAGAUCAAAAUUUUCACUUUAGUGUUGAUUAUAUCGAUAGUACUGAUCCCAAUGCAUAUCAGGAUUAUUACUAUGGUGAUUAUCAAUAUAAUGGCAGUUACAGCAAUUCAUUGGACAGUUUAGACCCGAAUUACCAAGGAACUCCACUAGGACGGGCACCAACCCCAUACGGUGAUGUAACUGUUGAGGAUCUGGGCCCUGAAAUGGUUCGUUGGUUUUAUAAGGUAGAAGCAGAUAAGAAAUGGACUCCGUUCAUAGGCUACGACUCUCUACGUAUAGAAUGGAAGUAUCGGGACCUCCUUCAAGAUACGGGUACAUCGCCAGAGGGAUCAAAAAAAGAAUCAUUUAUUAGUGGAAGUGAACAUUCCUCACCAAAGGAGUCAGAGAAGUCAGGAGUUGUGGAAAGGAUUGUUGUCCGUGGUGGCCUUUAUGAAGUAGAUGUGAAGCAUCGAAAAUGUGAAAGCAUUUAUUGGCAAGGUGAAGUUUUUGUUAUAUCUAGGGGAACGUGGUUUUAUGAAGGUGCCUGGGGCCCAGUCGAAGAAACACUGGCAGACAGAAUCGAAUACGAGCAUUUGCUCAAUUUUCGUGGCCAACAUCUUGCAAAUCAACGAAUUGAUGAUGCUACUAAACAAGUUGUUCAUUCCAUGACAAUUGCUGAAGGGCAAGUUGACUGGUUUAGUGCCUCAGAGGUGUACAUGUCGUCUGAUGGGACCUCGUCACGAUUGAUGCGUUCAGUUGGAAAGAAACUGGGUUUCCAGAAGACUGGAUAUAAACUACACAGGGGAUAUAGUAUAGAUGCCACUGCAAGUGAUAAGCCACCAGAUAUCAAUCACAUUGUAUUUGUUAUUCAUGGCAUUGGUCAGAAGAUGGAGAGGGGUCGCAUUAUCAAAAACUGCACUGUGUUGCGAGAAAACAUUGGUUUUUUGAAGCAGAAGUAUUACCCCUCUAUUGCACAGAGUGGUCAGACGAUUGAAUUCUUUCCUGUGGAAUGGCGGUCAUCUUUAGUGUUGGACGCUGGAGUCAUCGAAUCUAUUACCCCUCAUAAGAUUCUCAACAUUAGACAGAUGCUUAAUGCUUCAUUUAUGGACAUCAUGUAUUAUAAUAGCCCACUGUACAGAGAAGAAGUAAUCAAAGGCUUGGCAGGGGAAAUGAAUAGGCUUUACACAAUGUUCACACAACGAAAUCCAUAUUUCGAAGCUAAUGGAGGUAAGGUCUCCAUUGUGGCUCAUUCUCUUGGCUGUGUUAUCACGUAUGAUAUUGUCAUUGGAUGGAAUCCAGCUCAGCAGUUUGACCAGCAGAUGGUGCAGGCGUUGGUUGAAUGCAUUGAUAAAAAAGAAGACGCCACAUCUAGAUCAAAAGAAUGUUUGAAAGAAGAAUUAAGAAAAUUGAUCAAAUCAUAUGAAAGUAAUCAUUCUCAACCCUCUCUCAAUUUCAAGAUUGAAAACUUCUUUUGCCUUGGAUCCCCACUCGCCGUCUUUCUAGCCUUACGCACCAAAAAUGCAGAUGGCGAAUUUCCAGACCUUAUUCCCCCGAGGCUCUGCAAACGUUUGCUCAAUAUCUUUCAUCCUGCAGAUCCUGUGGCUUAUAGGAUUGAGCCACUUCUUUGUCCACAGUACUUCAAUAUUGCACCACUUCUUGUCCACUCUUACAAUGCAACUGAAAAAGUUCCCUAUCAUGAAAUGCCUCUUGAACCCCUAAUUGUUCCUAGAGAAAAGGAUGGAGAGAAGGGCAAACCAGAUUCAGAAAGUAAUACUCCUGUCUCAUCUGUUCCCAGUACACCUGUAAAAGGUGUAGGGGCUUCAAGUACUACUUGGAGUUGGUGGGGCUUGAUGAAAGGAAGCAAAAGACCAGAUGCAGGUUUUGCUACUCAGGAUCCCAGUUCAGCAUUGCAAGAUAAAGGAGGUUUGGCAGAACGAACUGACUUUGUUUUGCGGGAAGGCAGCAUGGAAAGUAGCUAUAUCUCUGCUGUUACCUCGCACACUGCAUACUGGACAAAUUAUGAUGUCUCACAUUUCAUACUAAGCAUUUUGUACCCAGAAGUACAGCCUACAUCGGGGAAACCAGAUAUUUUAAAGCCAUAAGUUGACUAGGCUGUGAAGAACUUUGAAUGGUUGUGAGUUAAUAAAAUAGAUAAAUGAAGUACUAGAGAAGAAAUUUCUUGCAGAAAAAGAUGUAACGAGAUAUCAUGAAAACUUGGUGAAAAUAAUGAUCAUCUUAUCUACUGGUUGUGUGGAGGAAUCCAUUAAGCAGAACUUUGAAAUGAUGUAACUCCCUUCAGAGCUCUUAUUAUUUUGGUGUGGGAAGUGUCAAGACUACUGAACUAGACUCUGUAAUCUGCUGUGUGACAUCAAAAACGGGCCUGUAACGUCAUGGCUGCUGCUGACUCCAUGUUUUGACGUUGCUGUGUUUGACUGAGGGCCGAUCUCUCGUCCCAUUCCUUCAGCGAUGGAUUUUCUUGGAGAUUCUUAGUUAUCCGUCACUUGUGCAUGUCCUGGGGAGGAGGCCCUCUGGUUGCGUUGCUGUAGGAGGUGGCAGAAGGCCUUUUUAUGCCAUCCUUGCUGUCACAGAGACCUUUGACUUGGGUUUCCAGUCUGAAUGCUGUGACGUUAUUCUCAAUACUUCUCUGCCUGUGACAUCUCUCCUCUGUAUGUUGCAGUGACAUAACUUCCACCAUUGUCCAUGACACCAUCGCGGUCGGCUGUCAACCCAUCAGAGGUGUUCUUCCUAGAGUUGAUUGAUUGGAUGGAUGGAUUAUGAAAUUUAGGGCAUAGCCCAAGCACUGGGACCUAUAAGAUCAUUCAGCGCUGAAAUGAAAGUAUGGCUAGAUGGAGAAAUGAAAUGAAAAUGAUAAACUGAUGACAAUCCUGCACUUGAACAGGACUGUACAUCAGCAAAGGCCAUUUUACUCUCCCCCCAGCAUUCCGAUCAUCCAAAGUUAUGAAAGAUUGUUUUGGCCAGGGGGCUGAUUGAUUGAAUGGACUACAUGUUUGGUAGGAGGUGUCCCAGUUUCAAGUACGAAGCAUCGUAGGGCAAAACCUCCAUCACCUUUUCAUUCUCCUUCCCUCCCGUUGGAGAAUUCGAGACUUGUGGCAUCUUCUGAGAGUGAGAGUGGUGUUUCUCCAUCUUCCCAGCACGGACGUGACUCUCCCCUUCCAGUACGUGAAUGUGUUCCAGUCAGUGUGGCGUCUUCUGAUAGUGAGAGAGGUGUUUCUCCAUCUUCACAGCAAGGAUGUGACUCCCCCCUCGAAGUACUUGUAAUCCUUAACAUCAUCACUGACAGUACCAAGUUCACCCACACAUCAUUUGCUCAGCAUCCACAGGGUCACUUUAAUGACUUUUUCCUUUGCUUUCCUUCCUGUUGCCACAUGCUUUGUUUUGCUUGCAUUUAUUCCCAAUCCUCUCCCCAUUCUGCUUUUUCAUCUUUUCAAGCACUUACAGUUGAUACAUCAUAUAGCACAGUACAUGACAUAAUUCAUCCUCUCUACUUCAUUUUCUACUUUCCUAUAUGACUAACCUGAAACUUUUACUCCAGAGUCUUUGGCACCAAUGCGAAGCUACUCCACAGUACUUUUUAAACAGUUAAUUUACACUCUUGUCAACCAAUUAAAUGUCAAGAGAUAUGAGAAUAAUAAAAUAAACAUCCUAAAAUUUCAAACUGAAAUUUAUCUUACCUCAUGCUCUGCAUUCUUUACUCCAAUACAGU